ensembl:lncRNA
GGUGUUACUGUGGUUGGAGUCUGAAGGCAUGAGACCCAGAGGAGCUGAUGAUGUAGAUUCAGUCCAAAAGCCAGGAAGCUUGAGACCCAGGAAGAUCUGAUGUUUUUGUUUGAGUCUGAAGGCAGAAGAAAAACCACUUUACCAUCUCAAAGGCAGUCAGCCACCUCCACUUUACCUUGGUUUGAGUGCUUGCCGGUGCCAGGCUCCGGGUCCUGAGUGGCUCUUUGUUGCCUCAAAGACCAAACCCUGUCCAGUCAGACUUGCACAGCUCUCUGUCUUCAUUGGAACUGACUCAUUGGAAGAGACCCUGGUGCUGGGAAAUAUUGAAGGCAAGAGGAGAAGGGGAUGACAGAGGAUGAGAUGGUUGGAUGGCAUCACCAACUCGAUGGACAUGAGUUUGAGCAAGCUCCAGGAGUUGGUGAUGGACAGGGAGGCCUGGCAUGCUGCAGUCCACAGGGUCGCAAAGAGUCAGACACGACUGAGCAACUGAACUGAACUGUCUUAAUUUUCUCAUGCAGUCCUCAAAGCAGCUCUGGGCCGUGUCUCAUCACCCACUUCUACACGUGUCCAACUCUGCAAUUCAGGAUCAGCAAUUGCCCUGAAUCUCCCAGCUCCUGAGUAGUACUGAGAGGACUUGAACCCAGGAUUCUGAUAACAAUUCACUGGCUCUUUUUUUUUGUUUUUUCCACCAUUUAGCAUAUUCCUAGGGAGAUGCCAUUUUCUCAAAUGUUUGGGCAAUGGCAGCUUGGUUUAAGUGCGGAAUAAGUGUGUGGCCUCACAAUUAGGAGAUAAAGGAGACCACUGUGGAGAAGACCACUGUUUGAAAAAAAACAUAAAAAGGCUUUACUAUCGUGGUGAUAUGCUUACCACACCCGCUUCUAUACCCAUGGACUCACUUUUCCUGCCUCUUGUCUGCAAGUUCCUCCUCCUCCCCUGUCUCUUCUCCUCCUACUUCUCUUUUCUUCACUUUUUUUUUUUUUCAUCUUUCUCAAUGAUCCCUCUCCCUGAAAGGGAGAAAAGGCUUUCCAGAGCCCUCUGCUUAUAUAAUUUCUUCCUCCAUUAAUCUGUUGUCAAUUAGUUAAUAAUUAAUUACUAAGUGACCUACUAAUACUGGUUUGUUAGUACUCCUCUGAUGGCCUUUAUCAUAUUCUGCCUUGUUGUCAUCAUUACUUGGGGACUUGUCUUAGGGCAUCUGUUCAAUUCUCGGCUGGAUGAGAACAGUUUCUGGGUUGGUCUCACCCAGCCUGAACUUCUCGUGUGGUAUCAGAGGCUGGGCCAGAGCAAGACACUGAUUUAGCUCAAAGGUGCUGACAGCAGCCCAAUUCCCUCACCAGCAAAUGUCAAGAGGAAAUAUCUGCCAUGGAGAGGCCCCAAGAG